rnacentral:rRNA from 1 species
AACAGGAUUAGAUACCCUGGUAGUCCACGCCAUAAACGAUGUCGACUUGGAGGUUGUGCCCUUGAGGCGUGGCUUCCGGAGCUAACGCGUUAAAUCGACCGCCUGGGGAGUACGGCCGCAAGGUUAAAACUCAAAUGAAUUGACGGGGGCCCGCACAAGCGGUGGAGCAUGUGGUUUAAUUCGAUGCAACGCGAAGAACCUUACCUGGUCUUGACAUCCACAGAACUUUCCAGAGAUGGAUUGGUGCCUUCGGGAACUGUGAGACAGGUGCUGCAUGGCUGUCGUCAGCUCGUGUUGUGAAAUGUUGGGUUAAGUCCCGCAACGAGCGCAACCCUUAUCCUUUGUUGCCAGCGGUUAGGCCGGGAACUCAAAGGAGACUGCCAGUGAUAAACUGGAGGAAGGUGGGGAUGACGUCAAGUCAUCAUGGCCCUUACGACCAGGGAUACACACGUGCUACAAUGGCAUAUACAAAGAGAAGCGACCUCGCGAGAGCAAGCGGACCUCAUAAAGUAUGUCGUAGUCCGGAUUGGAGUCUGCAACUCGACCCCAUGAAGUCGGAAUCGCUAGUAAUCGUAGAUCAGAAUGCUACGGUGAAUACGUACCCGGGCCUUGUACACACCGCCCGUCACACCAUGGGAGUGGGUUGCAAAAGAAGUAGGUAGCUUAACCUUCGGGAGGGCGCUUACCACUUUGUGAUUCAUGACUGGGGUGAAGUCGUAACAAGGUAACC